AUUGAACGCUGGCGGCAUGCCUUACACAUGCAAGUCGAACGGUAACGCGGGGCAACCUGGCGACGAGUGGCGAACGGGUGAGUAAUGCAUCGGAACGUGCCCAGUAGUGGGGGAUAACUGCUCGAAAGAGCAGCUAAUACCGCAUACGACCUGAGGGUGAAAGCGGGGGAUCGCAAGACCUCGCGCUAUUGGAGCGGCCGAUGUCAGAUUAGGUAGUUGGUGGGGUAAAGGCCCACCAAGCCAACGAUCUGUAGCCGGUCUGAGAGGACGACCAGCAACACUGGGGCGGAGACACGGCCCAGACUCCUACGGGAGGCAGCAGUGGGGAAUUUUGGACAAUGGACGGAAGUCUGAUCCAGCCAUGCCGCGUGCGGGAAGAAGGCCUUCGGGUUGUAAACCGCUUUUGUCAGGGAAGAAACGCUCUGGGUUAAUACCUCGGGGUAAUGACGGUACCUGAAGAAUAAGCAUCGGCUAACUACGUGCCAGCCGCCGCGGUAAAAC
rnacentral:rRNA from 1 species